GAUGAACGCUGGCGGCGUGCCUAAUACAUGCGAGUCGAGCGAACAGAUGAGGAGCUUGCUCCUCUGACGUUAGCGGCGGACGGGUGAGUAACACGUGGAUAACCUACCUAUAAGACUGGGAUAACUUCGGGAAACCGGAGCUAAUACCGGAUGAUAUAUUGAACCGCAUGGUUCAAUAGUGAAAGACGGUUUUGCUGUCACUUAUAGAUGGAUCCGCGCCGCAUUAGCUAGUUGGUAAGGUAACGGCUUACCAAGGCAACGAUGCGUAGCCGACCUGAGAGGGUGAUCGGCCACACUGGAACUGAGACACGGUCCAGACUCCUACGGGAGGCAGCAGUAGGGAAUCUUCCGCAAUGGGCGAAAGCCUGACGGAGCAACGCCGCGUGAGUGAUGAAGGUCUUCGGAUCGUAAAACUCUGUUAUUAGGGAAGAACAAAUGUGUAAGUAACUAUGCACGUCUUGACGGUACCUAAUCAGAAAGCCACGGCUAACUACGUG
rnacentral:rRNA from 1 species